rnacentral:rRNA from 1 species
GCCUCCCUCCGCCGCCACUCAGACUCCGUACGGGAGGCGAGCAGUUGGGAAUCGUUAGGACAAGUACGGGGGAAACCCGUGGACUCCAGCCAUGCCGCGUGAGUGAUGAAGGCCUUCGGGUUGUAAACUCUUACGACGGGACGAGUAAUGACGGUACCGUAGAAGAAGCUCCGGCUAACUUCGUGCCAGCAGCCGCGUAAUUC